GAUGAACGCUGGCUACAGGCUUAACACAUGCAAGUCGAGGGGAAACGGCAUUGAGUGCUUGCACUGAAUGGACGUCGACCGGCGCACGGGUGAGUAACGCGUAUCCAACCUUCCCGUUACUGCGGGAUAACCUGCCGAAAGGCAGACUAAUACCGCAUGUUCUUCGAUGACGGCAUCAGAUUCGAAGCAAAGAUCCGUCGGUAACGGAGGGGGAUGCGUCUGAUUAGCUAGUUGGCGGGGCGACGGCCCACCAAGGCGACGAUCAGUAGGGGUUCUGAGAGGAAGGUCCCCCACAUUGGAACUGAGACACGGUCCAAACUCCUACGGGAGGCAGCAGUGAGGAAUAUUGGUCAAUGGGCGGAAGCCUGAACCAGCCAAGUAGCGUGCAGGAUGACGGCACUACGGGUUGUAAACUGCUUUUAUGCGGGGAUAAAGUGAGGGACGCGUCCCUUUUUGCAGGUACCGCAUGAAUAAGGACCGGCUAAUUCCGUG
rnacentral:rRNA from 1 species